rnacentral:rRNA from 1 species
GCUACGGGGGGCAGCAGUGGGGAAUAUUGCACAAUGGGGGAAACCCUGAUGCAGCGACGCCGCGUGAGUGAAGAAGUAUUUCGGUAUGUAAAGCUCUAGCAGCAGGGAAGAAAAUGACGGUACCUGACUAAGAAGCCCCGGCUAACUACGUGCCAGCAGCCGCGGUAAUACGUAGGGGGCAAGAGUUAUCCGGAUUUACUGGGUGGAAAGGGAGCGUAGAAGGCCAGCCAAGUCCGAAGUGACAGCCCAGGGCUCAACCCUGGGAAUGCUGUUGACACUGCCGGGCUGGAGUGCAGGAGAGGUAAGCGGAAUUCCUAGUGUAGCGGUGAAAUGCUUAGAUAUCACGAAGAACUCCGAUUGCGAAGGCAGCUUACUAAACUGCCACUGACAUUGAUGCUCGAAAGUGUGGGUAUCAAACAGGAUUAGAUACCCCGGUAGUC